UGGGGAAUAUUGGACAAUGGGCGCAAGCCUGAUCCAGCCAUGCCGCGUGUGUGAAGAAGGUCUUCGGAUUGUAAAGCACUUUAAGUUGGGAGGAAGGGCAGUUACCUAAUACGUGAUUGUUUUGACGUUACCGACAGAAUAAGCACCGGCUAACUCUGUGCCAGCAGCCGCGGUAAUACAGAGGGUGCAAGCGUUAAUCGGAAUUACUGGGCGUAAAGCGCGCGUAGGUGGUUAGUUAAGUUGGAUGUGAAAUCCCCGGGCUCAACCUGGGAACUGCAUUCAAAACUGACUGACUAGAGUAUGGUAGAGGGUGGUGGAAUUUCCUGUGUAGCGGUGAAAUGCGUAGAUAUAGGAAGGAACACCAGUGGCGAAGGCGACCACCUGGACUGAUACUGACACUGAGGUGCGAAAGCGUGGGGAGCAAACAGGAUUAGAUACCCCUGUAGUCCCUGAGCGGGCUGGCAAGGCGCAU
rnacentral:rRNA from 1 species